rnacentral:rRNA from 1 species
UGGGGAAUAUUGCACAAUGGGGGGAAACCCGUACGAUGCAGCGACGCCGCGUGGAGGAAGAAGGUCUUCGGAUUGUAAACUCCUGUCGUUGGGGACGGAUAAUGACGGUACCCAACAAGAAAGCCACGGCUAACUACGUGCCAGCAGCCGCGGUAAAACGUAGGUGGCAAGCGUUGUCCGGAAUUACUGGGUGUAAAGGGAGCGCAGGCGGAAGGACAAGUUGGAAGUGAAACCCACGGGCUCAACCCGUGAACUGCUUUCAAAACUGUUUUUCUUGAGUGGUGUAGAGGUAGGCGGAAUUCCCGGUGUAGCGGUGGAAUGCGUAGAUAUCGGGAGGAACACCAGUGGC